CUUCGGCCCACGGAGCCGAGCGCGUUCCACCGCCUCCUCCUUCUUUCCCUCCCUCCCUCCGCCGCUCGGGAGCGUAGCGCUUCCCCACGCCGCUCUUCCUUCCCUCCACCCCCUGCCGCUCCUCCCUUUUCUCCCCCUGCCCGCUCCGGGCCCCCUCCUCCCUCCCCGCCCGGCUUCGCUCCCUCCCCCGUCUCCCGGGGGUCUAACCGAGCUGCCCCCCCUCCACACCCCGGCACCGCGCCCCUUUCCCCGGGCCGUGCCGGGGAUUACGCGCAAAUCGCCUCGGCCUUAAGCCUGUUUGCGGCCGCUCGGGCUGUCGGGGAGCUCCCGGGGAGUGCGGACGGCCCUUCACGCCGCUUCCCAGCUGCCGCGGACCGCACCGGCCCGCGACCCCCGGCCCUCAUCGAACGAGCUUCGAGCUCUCUACCCUCGCAGGAGGGGCCCGAGGAGGUGAGAGCAUAAGGGGCAGCCCUACUGAGCAACCCCUUAUUGGGGGAUCUGGGCGCAGCAGCUGGUCCCGAGUGUAGGGCAAGGACUGCGACGUAGUCCUUCGAGGCAUGGGUCGGGACGCGAUCCGUGGCUGGGACGUGGGCUGGGACAUGGGCCCUGCAUUAAAGGCAGAGCAAAGGUGGACACCGUGUGCAUCCAUUUCUGGGGGCACCACGCCUUAAGGAGCAGCACAUUUCUCUGCCCUCCAACCAAGCCUUUUAUUAACAUACAGUGUUCACUUGGAGGCUUCUCAGUUUACGAGUUACCAGCAUACCCUUGAACACCAGCCAGCGUCUCAUGGCUCUUCAAGUGGAUCUCGUGUCUCCUACAAACUCAACACUUUCACUGAUUAUUUUUUUUUCCUCUUGCUGUACAGUAGGGUAUGUGAAAGAGCAGAAUUUCAGAGGAGAUAGGAAAAGAAGCUCCAUCACCAUGUGAAGCCACACUGUUCUUUUCUCCAGCUUUUCUGUGUUACUUUCAUUCCAGCCCUCCCUUUUGAGUUCGCAGCUGCCAGGUUUGAUCUCAGAAAGCAACCUUUGGGUUGUCUACUUGGUAAGUGCAAACAUCGAGUUGGAAUUCACAAGAACAGAAGAAAGGAAAUUGCAUUGCUGAUAUUUAAAGAUACGUUCAUUUUCUUUGUGGUUUUAGGCUUUCAUGCAGAGCAUUGGGAUACUGCAAACUGAGAGUAGGUUACAAAAAGUAGCGUGUGUACUAUUGCCUCUCCUGCCCUCCCACUCAAUAAAAAGGUGAAAUGCCUUCUGUAUUUUACUAAGCCUACAGAGUAUCUUACUAAGUUAAAAUGGUCCACCACUAACUCGAGCCCAAAGAAGUGCUGCAGUGGCAUAGAUCAUCGGGGGACUGAAACUGCUGCAGCUCUUCCAGCGGUAGAAAAAUGAACGAUUUUUGUUGAAUGUAAGUUUAUGAGUGGUCUGUUGAUGAAUUGCUUUUGCUGUAAGGCUGUAACCUCAGAAGGGAGCAAACCAGAUGACUGACAGCCGGUUACUUUUUUGAUGAUGGUGAGAAAUUGCAUGUGGUUGUCCAAGGAUGUCUGGUCUCCUUCCUUUUACCCCCAGGUGAGAGACACUGCUAAGGAAUGCCAUCCUACAAAGGGCUGUAGACUAAGAAUUGGUGUCAGAGUCAUAUUAGCUCCUCUACUUACCACGUGAUGCACUGAAGGACCACACAUGACUGCUGUUUUGUACCCUUUGACAUCAUCCAGCCUCUUUAGCCAUGGCCAUGCUUUGUGGCAGAAGUGGUCUGCUAUUAAGUAUUUGUCAUCCUUGUACCUUGCUGAACCACAAAAACCAAAAACAAGAAACAAGACUCUUAUUUAAGUUACUUCUUCAGAUCCAGCCCUACACAUAUUCUGCUACCUUGAAGUUCAAACAGGUUCUUGGUGUCCCUUUUGCACCAUUUUUUUGUUUCAUAUGCCCUAAAUCUUACAGCUGUGACUAGAUAGAUACACAAUUUUGUUCACCUCAUUUCAUCCCCUGGAGUUCAAAACUUGGUUUCCAUUAGUGGAAAGCUAGUAUAGGCCCCCGAAGAAUACAACAACCUACUUAAGCUUAAGGUGUGUUUCAAGGUCGUGUUGGAUAAGGAGGAAAGAAAUCAGCUCCUACUAGCUAAUGAAAACUGCAAUGUCAUUUCAGAUCAGACCUGCCAGUUUGGGCUCCAAAAUGCCAAAUUUGUUUUUUCACUUCUUUCUGUUCAGGGGAUGGAUUCAAACCUGCUGACAAGCCUGCCCUUAGUGAUUUCCCCUCAUGUGAGCUUUUCUCACCCUAUCUGAGAGCCCCAUUUUACAGAGACCAAGGUCUGUGAACUGUUUGACAGAACUAAUGGAAAAUCACAGGCCGAGUACUCCUCCAAAAAAUGUAAUUCUGUCAAAGCAGACAUGGAAUUUGAGGACAAGUGUCAAAACCACAGGAUUUUUUAAUUUUAUUUUGAUUUUAUUUUAUUUUUUUUUUUUUAGGGGCAUGCUGCUAUGUUUUCAGAGGGGCAAGAGAACUGAAGACAAGGGAACUUAGGUCGAGGAGGUGCUGCCCACUAAAAUAAACCGUGGCACCUGUCCCCUGGAGGAAGGGGGGUGGUGGUUUGGGAGGAAACCUUCCCAGAGGUCUACGGUUCAACCAGAUGGUUGAAUGGCCUUUUCCUACCUUAACGAUUCUAUGAGUCCAUAAUUCAGAGAGCGAUCUUCACAGCUGGCCUGGGAGCAGGAAGUGAGCAUAUAGCUGAUCUGCCAAACUGCAUCAAAACAUCUCCAACGCAGCCUGGGGGUUUGUUUCAUUUCAUCCUGUUUUUUUGACUUCGUUCCAAGUUGUGUUUCUGUGUGUUGUUUUUAUUUUCUUUUCCUUCAAGUUUUUUUGCACUUAGUCUAGACGUUUGGGUUUGAAUUUCUCAGUAGUCCGCUGUAUAUGCUGCGUUCAAAGAUGUCUCAUAUCCUUCUGUCUCUUCUGUUCCCUGCCCUUAAUGACUCAGUGAGAACUGGAUCAACAAAGCGAACGCUUCAUUACUGACUUUUGUUUUUAACAUGAAACGCAUUGAAAAUAGUAACACAUGCCUGCUUUCUCUAAGCAAAAUAUUUUGGCUGUGUUGGACAUGCUGAAACAUACAGAUUUUGAAAUCAGUGCAAAUGUUGUGUUUAGACAUUCACAAGAAAACCCCCAUCUCUUGAAGUAUUUCCAUUCUUCAUGGGGAAAAGAAAAAAAAAAAAUUUCAAUUGAAGAACUUGUCAUUUUCUCUCCCUAAAUUGAGGCAGAAAGACCUUAAAACAAUGAUUUUUUCAUGGUUUUUUUUUCCUGCAUGUUUUUGCCAGCAUUGCCUUUAGCGUGUACCACAUAAAGAAUAUAUGCUAAUGUUCAUCAACUGAUGCUAGCAUCAAAUUUCCUUCUUUUCUUGGCACAUAACACACACGCCUACUUUGAGUAAAUUCUUCAAGGAAAUGUUGCUCAUUCUCCUCAUAGGAGAUAUGCCAGUUGGAUUCUUUUCUGUUAAGCAAUUUUGGAUAACAUCCAAAGGUAAGGUUUGAUCAACGUGGUAACUGGGUAGUUCCUGCCAGACAGAUAGGUGCUAAUAACAGCCCACAGGAAAUGGAUUACAAGCAGAGAAAAAAGCACUUAGUUUUCAACCCUUCAGAUAGAGCCAAAGUGACACAGCGGGUUAAGAAACACAUUUAAAACUAAAGGUAUAUUUUAUUAUUGGCAAAAUCCUGAUACCUGUCUUGAAGCCCACUGCUUUCUCUUUGCGAGGGCGUUCAGACAAAAUGCUGUAGAAGUUCUGGAUUUCUCCCACUUCGCAGUGUCUGUUGCUUGGGAAUAUUUCAUGCUAGGAACCUGAAAAAAUGCUUUCGCCCACACUUCCUUCACAGACUUUUUCCACCUUGUGCUUUUUCUUGUUAUUAUUAUUCCUCUUGUUACUGUAAUUGCUGCUUCUGUGUGUAUCUGUACAAGACAGGACGCUUUUAAACAGUUCCCCAGUGUUUUCGGUGUCACAAGGUGGAAGUUAUUAAUGCAGCUGGCAGGAAUGUGUCUAUUGCCUUAGGGAAGGGCUGCAGGAAGAAAUCUCAGGCAGAAGAAAGCCCUGCCCUCGGAAAAGCAUUUUAGUGAAGGACCAGCAGAGGUAUGGAGGGACAAUCCACCUGCCACUUCAUUGCCUUCUUCUCAUUUUAUUUCCCCUUCUCAGUAUUUUUUUGCAGAUGCUAGCAUCUCCUACUUGCUUUGUGGUUCUAUUGACUUUAUUCAGAGAUAUCUAGCAGGAGGUUGAUGUGUUUCUCAUUCAGUAUUAUCAGGUGCAUUAGGAAAAGUGUUAACACCAGGUUGCAUGUUUACGGCCUCAAGUUGUGCCAGGAGAGAUUCAGAUUGGACGUUAGGAAAAAUUUCUUCUUCAAAGGUGUGGCUAGAUGUUGGAAUGGGCUGCCCAAUGGUGGAGUCACCCUCCCUGGAGGCGUUCAAAAAACAUUUAGAUGUCGUACUGAGGGACAUGGUUUAGUGGGGAAAUACUGGUGGUAGGUGGACGGUUGGACUGAUGAUUUUGGAGGUUUUUUCCAACCUUGAUGAUUUCAUGAUUCUGUCAUUGAAGAGAGACAAUCUUUCCCUUCUAGUCAACACUGGUGAGGAUGCACUUCGUGUUCUGGGUCCCUCAGACAUGCAUGGACGUACUGAAGAGUGUUCAAGAGAAGGACACCAAAAUGGCAAGUGCCAGGAGUACUCCUGCUAUGAGGAAGGGCUGAGAGAGCCAGGGCUGCUCGGCUGGAGAAGAGGGGAUGUCAUCAAUGUCCAUAAAUGUCUGAAGGAAAGGUGCCAAGAGGCUACAGCCAGGCUCUGUCAGUGGUGCCCGGUGCCAGACCCAGAGGCCAUGGGCACAAACUGGAGCACAGAAGGUUCCCUCUGAACACCAGGAGCCCUCCUGUGUUGUGCAUUGGCAGAGCACUGGCACAGGCUGCACAGAGGCUGUGGGGUCUCUGCCUUGGGGAUCUCCCAAAGCUGCCUGGACGUGGCCCUGGGCACCCUGCUCUGGGUGUCCCUACAAGGGCUGGAGCAGAGGGACCCAGAAGUCCUGCUAGCCUCAGCUGUGCUGCAGUUCUGUGAUCCUGUAAUUCCACCCCUUUGACUCCCUGAAAAUCAGCAGAUAAAAAACACAUUGAAGCGUGGACAGCUGCAGGUGGUGAUUUAUUCAACUGCCACUGACAUUCACUAAUUACUCUACUGGUGGCACUGUUUUUGGACAUGAUAACUUAAGUGAAGUGAGUAGAAUCACUUGUGUUCAUAUUAAUACAUUGUUGAUUCAAGGUUUUCCACAAAUGAUUUCAUAAAAAUACCACUGGAAAGGUAUAAGAAUGUCCAUAUGAAAAUGAGAAGUCGUUCUCUCCAUCCUUGUAGCCAAGGCAGCUCCAACUGCAUCUGUACCAUCCUGAAGUGGCAUUGCCUGUUCAAACAUUCACAACUGAGACUUUCUGUCCUUCUGGAGAAUGUAAUCAGUGAACGACUUAAAUCUGCAGGGCUGAAAUUUUCAUCUCAUUCCUGUGAAUACAGAAAAGGGCCCAUUCCUUGCCUCUUUAUUAAUAAUUCUGUGGGCCUCUUGAGGCUACUAUGACACAUUUCUUCCCUGGAGAAAACCACCCCCAUUCUCCUCUCACCACUGAACUCCCAGUGUAUGCUUCCAGAGCUGACACCUGUGUCUCACUUGACUUGAGAGUUUCAUGGGAUCAUUAUCCAGCUCAGUCCUCCCAUUUAAUCUCUUAAACCUGAGUGGGCUUGCAGGUGUAAUUACCAUGAAUUAUGACUGGUCAUCCUUACUGCUGAUAGGGAUGUUGAACCAUUCCUCCAGUUCACAUGUGAGCCAGAACUAACCCUAAUCAGUUGUCAUCUGUUCCGUGAGUUCUUUGGAAUACUUCAGGUGAAACAUGGGUUCCUGGGAAAAUGGCACAUCAUUAUCAAAAGCUUUUGUAAAUUGAUGUACACAGUGAGUAGCCAAUCUACUGGUCUGUUCCGUCAUCACAGAAAGAAGUUGGGUUAGUUUGACUUUAUUUGUCCUUCAACAAGCCAUGUUUGCUGUUCCUUUCCAUGUUGUAAGUACUCACGAACAUUUUAUUUUCAUUUCAAGGAGUGCUGAAGCUUAUUUAAUGGAUCAGUUCUUCCUUUUGCUCCUAUUUUUUAAGUUUCACUUCACGAUACAAGAACAACAAGCUGAAAGGAGGUAAUAGCGAGGUGGAAGUUGGCCUCUUCUCCCAGCAAACAAACUAUAAGGCUUCUCUGGCUAUUGAGCAGAAGAAACAUAUGGAGACAGAAUUAUCCCAGUGGAGUUUUCUUUGCUAGCAGAAGUGAGAGGAAGAAGCCACAAGAUGAGUGUAUAAAAACAGCCAUAGCGUCAUCUAGAACAAGUAAGAGGAACUCGUAGCCAGGGUUCUGUUUUCUUUUAAGGCAAGUUAGAGCAUAUUGAAUCAAAUACUAUUGUCAUAGAAAAAAGUAGAAAACUUUUUCACAGCGUUCAUGGUCAUAGCUUUGUAUACUGAGAGGUGUAUUCUUACUUCUAAGCACACCGUUUGUCCCAUUUAUUUCACUUCCAGCACAUGCUGAAAGCAUAUACUCUCAGUGGGGAACCCUGCAAACUGACAGAUUUGAGAAGAGAAAUGUUUGAUGUAUAGAGAAAGCAUGGAAGGAAGGAAGAGGGACAGCUAUGUGAAACAGAAAAGAAUGAAGGAUGUGUCUGUUUGCUUUUCUAAGAUGCAUUUUUUCUGACACCAGCAAAUGACAUUUCAUAACCCCAGAAAUACCAACACUAAGUAAAAACCAUGUUUUAAGUGACUGAAAGAAGUACAACAAGAUUGAGUUCAACUGAUAAUGUAAUUCCUGUGGUUUCAGUUCAGUUAUUUUAGGGACAAAAUGGUCUGCAAAGUUUUUUUUGUUGUUGUUGUUUUUUUCUUUUAAUUUAAUGAGAAGUUGAAAUUGCCAUUGCUUUAAUAGUGUCACCACAGUACUUUCAAGGGAACCCAUCGGGUGGCUCGUACAGCUAUUUUUACUUGUUAAUAAAGAGAAGAUGUCACAUGAUUUGCCAGAAAAGCAAAUAUAUUCUUGAUGCUUUAACCUUGUUUAAGUUACUUAAUUUGCAUUCAACACUUAAAGAAACAGCCUCGAUCCGUGGAACGAGCAGAGUGUAUGUGAGAGUGCCCCAUUUAAAUUGGCUAGACAUGGGCAAAGCUGGUUCAGAUGAACAAAAAAGCAAGUAGAAGUGUCAUCGCUUCUAUAUAUUUCAGAUCAAUAAAGCAGAAGAGUGCAGGGGUGAAUUCAGAAACACUCCAAUGAAGUAGCCAUUGAACAUGCACAAAAUAAUGUUUUCAUCUUUGUGUACAGAAAAUUUGCAGAGUUGAACUUUUCAUACUAUUAGUAUUUCAGUAAGUUGUGAUGAAUGUGAGUGGGCUUUGUAGACAUACGUAGUUUAUGACCUGAAUUGAUUGAUCUACACUAUUGCUGCUGAAUAAAAACAUACCUGGGCGUGCAAA